GAGAGAGAGAGAGAGACAAAGAGAAAGAGAGAGAGAGAGAGAGAGGGGGAGAGAGAAGGAGAGACACGUCAUCUCGUUUCACCGGGGAAAUCCUGGAAUCGCGCUCUGUGUUGCGACGUCGAACUGAAAUCGGAAGCUGAAGAGAUCGCGCGAUCGAGAAGAAAUUGGAAAG